AAAUUGAAGAGUUUGAUCAUGGCUCAGAUUGAACGCUGGCGGCAGGCCUAACACAUGCAAGUCGAACGGUAACAGGAAACAGCUUGCUGUUUCGCUGACGAGUGGCGGACGGGUGAGUAAUGUCUGGGAAACUGCCCGAUGGAGGGGGAUAACUACUGGAAACGGUAGCUAAUACCGCAUAACGUCGCAAGACCAAAGAGGGGGACCUUCGGGCCUCUUGCUAUCGGAUGUGCCCAGAUGGGAUUAGCUAGUAGGUGGGGUAACGGCUCACCUAGGCGACGAUCCCUAGCUGGUCUGAGAGGAUGACCAGCCACACUGGAACUGAGACACGGUCCAGACUCCUACGGGAGGCAGCAGUGGGGAAUAUUGCACAAUGGGCGCAAGCCUGAUGCAGCCAUGCCGCGUGUAUGAAGAAGGCCUUCGGGUUGUAAAGUACUUUCAGCGGGGAGGAAGGGAGUAAAGUU
rnacentral:rRNA from 1 species